rnacentral:rRNA from 1 species
UCUCUGGUUGAUCCUGCCAGAGGCCACUGCUAUCGAGGUUCGAUUAAGCCAUGCGAGUCGAGAGGUGCAAGACCUCGGCAUACUGCUCAGUAACACGUGGACAACCUACCCUGAGGAGGGGGAUAACCCCGGAAAACUGGGGAUAAUACCCCAUAGGCCCAGGGAUGCUGGAAUGCCUCCUGGUUGAAAGGUCCGCCGCCUCAGGAUGGGUCUGCGGCCGAUUAGGUUGUUGUUGGGGUAACGGCCCAACAAGCCAUUGAUCGGUACGGGUUGUGGGAGCAAGAGCCCGGAGAUGGAUUCUGAGACACGAAUCCAGGCCCUACGGGGCGCAGCAGGCGCGAAAACUUUACAAUGCGAGAAAUCGUGAUAAGGGAACCCCGAGUGCCCGUAAAUUCGGGCUGUCCAUCAGUGUAAAUAACUGGUGAAGAAAGGGCCGGGCAAGACCGGUGCCAGCCGCCGCGGUAAUACCGGCGGCUCGAGUGGUGGCCGCUAUUAUUGGGCUUAAAGCGUCCGUAGCUUGGUUGUUAAGUCUCCUGGGAAAUCCACCGGCUCAACCGGUGGGCGUUCGGGAGAAACUGGCAACCUAGGGACCGGGAGAGGUGAGAGGUACUCCAGGGGUAGGAGUGAAAUCCUGUAAUCCUUGGGGGACCACCUGUGGCGAAGGCGUCUCACUAGAACGGCUCCGACAGUGAGGGACGAAAGCUGGGGGAGCAAACCGGAUUAGAUACCCGGGUAGUCCCAGCUGUAAACGAUGCGCGUUAGGUGUAUCGGUGACCACGAGUCACCGAGGUGCCGAAGGGAAACCGUGAAACGUGCCGCCUGGGAAGUACGGUCGCAAGGCUGAAACUUAAAGGAAUUGGCGGG